rnacentral:rRNA from 1 species
ACUCCUACGGGAGGCAGCAGUAGGGAAUCUUCGGCAAUGGGGGCGAACCCUGACCGAGCAACGCCGCGUGAGUGAAGAAGGUUUUCGGAUCGUAAAACUCUGUUGUUAGAGAAGAACGUUAAGUAGAGUGGAAAAUUACUUAAGUGACGGUAUCUAACCAGAAAGGGACGGCUAACUACGUGCCAGCAGCCGCGGUAAUACGUAGGUCCCAAGCGUUUGUCCGGAUUUUAUUUGGGCGUAAAGCGAGCGCAGGUGGUUUCUUAAGUCUGAUGUAAAAGGCAGUGGCUCAACCAUUGUGUGCAUUGGAAACUGGGAGACUUGAGUGCAGGAGAGGAGAGUGGAAUUCCAUGUGUAGCGGUGAAAUGCGUAGAUAUAUGGAGGAACACCGGAGGCGAAAGCGGCUCUCUGGCCUGUAACUGACACUGAGGCUCGAAAGCGUGGGGAGCAAACAGGAUUAGAUACCCUGGUAGCGACUGA